ACCUAGCUGACGAGUCCCAAAUAGGACAAAACACGCGUCCUGGAU
rnacentral:hammerhead_ribozyme from 1 species